GGAUUAGAUACCCUGGUAGUCCACGCUGUAAACGAUGUCAACUAGCCGUUGGGGAACUUGAUUCCUUAGUGGCGCAGCUAACGCGAUAAGUUGACCGCCUGGGGAGUACGGCCGCAAGGUUAAAACUCAAAUGAAUUGACGGGGGCCCGCACAAGCGGUGGAGCAUGUGGUUUAAUUCGAUGCAACGCGAAGAACCUUACCAGGUCUUGACAUCCUGAGAAUCCUGUAGAGAUACGGGAGUGCCUUCGGGAAUUCAGUGACAGGUGCUGCAUGGCUGUCGUCAGCUCGUGCCG
rnacentral:rRNA from 1 species